AGAGCCAUAGCAACGCAGGAUCUGAGCCGCGUCUGCAACCUACACCACAGCUCACGGCAACGCCGGAUCGUUAACCCACUGAGCAAGGGCAGGGAUCGAACCCGCAACCUUAUGGUUCCUAGUCGGAUUCGUUAACCACUGUGCCACGACGGGAACUCCUGGGUGUUCCUUUUCUUUCUCCACUUCCUUAUUGCCAGUGUUAGCUUCCUACUUCCCACUCCCGCAUAAACAUCCACGCACACAGGCACACACACAGCAAUUAGCAGUUGGGAUUUAGAUGCUAGAAGUUUGCUAUCCACAUAGGAAUUUCUUGCCUGGCUGUAAACAUUAAGUAGAAAGAAGACAUUUUGCUAGGGGAAGAUAUCAAAGAGGAAACAGAAAUUAAUGGCAGGAAUUUCAGAAGAUGGUGUUGGGCAGUAAUUAUAGACAGUGGUCUAGGAAUACCUGUGGGGAGUGAGGAGGUCCUGACUCUUUUAACCCCCACCCUCACCCCCACCCUGGCCAAGAAAAAUGUAUUGAGAAGAUUUGAAAAGACACUUGUUAUCUGUGGAAUGCUUUUCAGUUAUAUUUAGUAAUUGCAAUAAGAGUUUGAAUGAACGCAUGAUGCUUAAAAUGUUUAUUAUACUUUAGGUAGUACUAGAAAACUAGCAGGGGUAGUGGUACCUCCAGGAUUUCCAAAGAGUGGGCUGUGAAGUGAUGAUCUGGUUGGGUGAAAAGGUGAGACUGGUGCUUGAAGCUUUAUUUGCAUAGCAGGGGUUUUUUUUGUUUGUUUGUUUAGAUUGUAGACUACCUCAGGGUGUGGCUGAAUGAAAUAGAAGUAUCAGGUGUGGGGAAAGUGGUGGUUGCCACUGACAGUAAUGAAAGUGCCAAAGGGUAAGAGAUGCACUGGAGAUGUUUGUCAGUGAGAACACUGGAGGCACACGAUUAGUCGUGUGUUCCUCAAAAAUAGAGGCCAGAGGAGUUCCCGUGGUGGCUCAGAGGAAAUGAAUCUGACGAGUAUCCACGAGGAUGCAGGUUCAAUCCCUGGCCUCGCUCCGUGGGUUAAGACGCUGUGAGCUGUGGUGUAGCUCGGAUUCUCGUGGCUGUGGCUGCGGUGUAGGCUGGUGGCUAAAUCUCCAACUGGACCCCUAGCCUGGAAACGUCCAUACGCUUUGGGUGCGUGCGGCCCUAAAAAGACAAUAACAACAACAAAAUAGAGGCCAGAGUCAUUGCCGCUGACUCCUUUUCAGAUUGUUUGGAAAAGGGAGGAUGUAUGUUUCUGUCUGCAUAAGUCCCUCCUUCUUUCCACUCCCCAACUUUUUUUCCAUUUCACUUCUAUUUUGAGGUAAGUUCUGGUUAGGUUUCAAAAUGGAUUUAUCUUGGCAAGACAACUGCUGUGCUUCAGUCUGUUGAGUUCUAAACAUUUGCUACACAUACAGAGCAUGUCUAUAGUAAUAACCAUGAAUAUAAACUUUAAAAGGUGAGAAAAUUGCAGUUAGAGAGGAAAAUUGUUAGAGAGAGGACGCCUUAAAAUGGGAGGCUGAGUAUGAUGGUUAAAUCACUUUUUCAGACAAGUAAGUGAAAUUCCACCUCAGUGUCCUCAUCUGUAAACAGGAUUAAUGCUAAUAACUACAGAUGAAAGUGAGGAUUAACUCUAAAAUACUUAGGGUGUGUGACACAAGUUAUUAACUUUUGCUCCUGCUGGCCCUGCCUCCCACCUUUUUUUUUUUAAGGGCCACACCCUCAGCAUAUGGAAUUUCCCAGGCUAGGAGUCUAAUUGGAGCUGUAGCACUUGGCCUACGCCAGAGCCACAGCAACGCGGAAUCCGAGCUGCGUCUGCGACCCACACCACAGCUCAUGGCAGUGCUGGAUCCUUAACCCACUGAGCAACGCCAGGGAUCGAACCUGAAACCUCAUGGUUCUUAAUCGGAUUCGUUAACUACUGUGCCACAACGGGAACUCCAAAACACAAGUGAUCUUAUAUUGAAGUUUUUAUACUUUCAUUUGCCUGAUAUGUGCCAUUAAAGUGUUAAUAAAUAGUCUACAUGAUAUUCUUCCAUAACCUCAUAAUUUUAGUAAAGUAUAUAAGUCAGCAUAGAGGAAAAAAUUGCUAAAUAACCUUUUUUGGGUGUUUCUAUUUGCCGACAAAUGCUUCAAGAAAAAGCAAGAACAGAUUUGUUCAUGAUAUGUUCAAUUUUUUAUCUUAAAUUUUUUCUUUGGUUAGCCCUCUCAUUCUGGGUGAGCUGGUGCUUUAUUACUUUACUGAUGCUGGUAGGCCAAUUUGUGGGAAGAAUAUCAUUAGCUCUGUUGUUUUGAAAGGUCAAGAGUGUGUGUGUGUGUGUGUGUGUGUGUGUUUACCACUUGAGGGUUUCAAGUUCAUAUAAGACCAAGUUUUAGAGCCUUUUUGUCGAUCGGCUCAGUUGGGUGUCGCUACUGUAGCAGGCUGUAAAGUAGUAAAGAAAGCAAUCUUUUGAAUUAAUAAAGUGAUGAAUUACCUAAUUACAAAGUUUAUGUGAAAUGGCAGUAUGAUAACUUUGACUGCAUUACUAAAUGAUCCCAGUGACUGAUCAGAUGUGCCUGGAUUCCAUUAAGGAAAAAAUGCGCCAUUAAAUAUUUAAAACUAAAAACCAGCAGACACACCGGGAUUGCUAACCUCCAGUCACUGGUGUGCAAGUAGCUAUACAUCUGGAAGUAGGAGCUAGAUGAGACAUCGCUCUUGUCUGCUCAGAACAGCUGCUAGAAGACUUAGUUAUUGGGAUUACGCUUUUCUUCUGGUUUUAAGUAAAGCAGGCAAAUCGCCAAGAAACUUCAUUGCAUGCGGACCCUGGCAUUCUCAUUAUGAAAUGUAGAUGCAUUUAUGAUUUCUGUGUUUUACAAUACAUCGAAUCUCUGAACAGAUUCAAGAGACAAUUAUUCUCAAAAAUGUUCCUCCAUGUAAAGCGGCUUUUGUAGGACACUUGGGAUUUCAAAACAAAACAAUUCAUGUGUUUUUAAUGAUGCUAUUUAUCUCUUAUAUUCUUCAUUUUGAACUGUCAGUUAAAAUUUCUCUUCAUUUAUGUGUAAAUAACCUGUGAUGAGUUGGUAUAUGUUUAUCAUAGUUAAGAACCAGAUGCCAGCUAACUUCUGAAGUUCAGAAGGAUAAUUAGUAAAUUCUUAAUCAGCGUUUUUACUUAUACCUCUGUUGGUCAAGGUUAAUUAUAUAUACAAGACUAAUGCUUUAUUUAAAACUAUUGAGGCAUAAACGUGUUUGCCAAGCCUUGUUGCCUUGUCUAUUUGAGUGUAUAACUUGCCAUUAAUUCAUAUAGAGGUAAUAUUUUUAAAAUGACAGUAUGUCACUGGGAAAUGGCAGAGGUUACCUUCAUUGGCUUGGCCUUCCCUUUAGUGGAAAAACCUUUACUAGAGUUCUGUGUCUCCCUACUAGAGUGUGACUUUCCUAGGGCUGGGAAUUAUAUUUUAUUUAUUUUGAAUCCCUGGAAAUCUUCAUGUUUUACAGUAAGUGUUUAAUUGCUAAUGUGUGGGAAAACUGUGCCUUUUUUGCUUUAUGAAGUAUACUUUGUUAAAUACAUUUAAUAAUUAUUACGUUACUAAAAAUAUACAAGACUAGGUAAAAAGGAUUCUUUAUUGUGGUAAAAUGUAAGCAGUUCGGUGAGUUAUUUGAUAGCUCAGAAACUCAGAAGCUGCCAUUAUCCUAAAUUCUUUAGGAAAUGACAAAUCAUCAUGUUAAUUAUUCCAGAGUUCAGCAAACCUUUUCUGUGAGAGCCCACAUGGUAAAUAUUUUAGGCUUUGUAGGCCAAGAGGCAGAAGUGAAUUAUUACUGGUGAUUUGUAAUGCACAGUGAGAGGGUUGCUGAUGGUCUCCAUGGCAACUCCUUAACUCUUCCAUUAUAGUGGAAAGCAUCCCUGGAUAAUAUAAAAGUGAACGGGCAUGGGUGUGUUCCAAUAAAACUUUAUUUAUGGGCACAGAACAUUGCUUUUCAUAUAAUUUUCACUUAUACCCAAAUAGUCUUCUUUUAAUUUUCCUUCAUCUGUUUAAAAAUGUAAGAAAACAUUCUGAGCUUGCAGGCUGUGCAAAAACAGGUGGUGGAUUAGAUUUGCUCCAUAGGCCAUUGCUUGCCGACCCUUAAAUUAUUUUUUUUUGUAAGCCAAAAUUUGUGUGUGUGUGCACAGUAGGAGAGAGAAUAUGCUAUCAAAAAAUUCUCUAAUUAAAAAAGAUAGGAAAUAUUUAUCUGUUACUUUCUAACAAGCUAUUGGUUCUACAGUUGUGUAUUGCCAGUCAUAGUUGUAAGCACACAAAAACUGUCUUUUGAAUUUAUUAUUUUUUAAACCAAGAAAAUUUGAUUUAAUAACUUUUUUUUUUUUUUUGGUCUUUUCUAGGGCUGCACCCACAGCAUAUGGAGGGUCCCAGGCUGGGGUUCUAAUCAGAGCUAUAGCUGCUGGCGUACACCAGAGCCAUAGCAACAUAGGAUCCGAGCUGCGUCUGCAACCUACACCACAGCUCAUGGCAACGCUGGAUCCUUAACCCACUGAUCAAGGCCAGAGAUCGAACCUGCAACCUCAUGGUUGCUAGUCGGAUGCGUUAACCACUGAGCCACAACGGGUACUCCUGAUUCAAUAACUUUAAAAUAAUUCAGUAAUUUAGUAGGAGAGAUGUAGUAUUUCACCAAGAAGGAUUAGAAAGAAAUAAAAUUCUUUUUUUUGUUUUUUUUUUUUUUUGGUCACCUCCAUGGCAUGUGGAAGUGUCCCGGGCCAGGGAUUGAACUUGUGCUGUAGUUAUGACCCAACUACAGCAGUGACAGUGCUAGAUCCUUAACAAUGAGUCACCAGGGAAUUCCAGAAAUACAUUUUUUUUUUUCCUUUUCUUUUUUUUGGCUGCCCCUGAGCAUAUGGAGUUCCCGGGCUAGGGAUUAGAUCCAGUCUAUGCUGCAGCUGUGGCAACACCAGAUCCUUAACCCACUGUGCUGGGCUGGGAAUUGAACACAUGUCCCAGUGCUUCAGAGAUGCCGAUGAUCUCGUUGCGCCACAGCAAAAACCCCCAAAAUAAAAUUCGUAAAUAGAAAAAAUGUAUACUUAAACUAUCAUUCUUAGUUUUUUGCUUUUGAUUUCUUUAACUAUAGGUGUUAUAUUUUGUUAUUUUCCAUUGAAAUGAACUGUAAAGACAUAAUUUUCAAGUGGAAUUAUUUUGAUUAUAUAAUUCAAGUUCAGAAAUUUUUUGAUUCUUCAGAUCUUUUUCUUAGAUUAUGGAUAUUGCCUUCAGUCUUUACACUGUGAUUUGAUUGUUUCUGUAAUGAAGGAGAAGGACCUCUUGGAGUUCUCUUUGUGGCUCAGUGGUUAACGAAUCUUACUAGGAACUAUGAGGUUUUGGGUUCGAUCCCUGGCCUCACUCAGUGGGUUAAGGAUCUGGUGUUGCCGUGAGCUGUGGUGUAGGUCGAAGACAUGGCUCGGAUCCCAUGUUGCUGUGGCUGUGGCAUAGGCCGGCGGCUACAGCUCCGAUUAGACUGCUAGUCUCCAUAUGCCUCAGGAUCGGCCCUAGAAAAGGCAAAAAGACCGAAAAAAAAAAAGAAAAAGAAAAAGAAGGACCUCUCAUGGGACCAAAAAAAAUGUUUUAAGAGUAGCACAGUAAUGAGGGGCAGAGCUUCCUUGCCUGCCCACUUGUAUCUGUCACAAGCAUCCUAUCCUAAUAAAUGCACUUCUUGCCAACAACAACAACAAUAAGUGUAUAACAGUAAUGAAAAUUUGUGAUAAACUGGUCUUUUAAAUUUGUAACAGGCAGAAACAGAGUGAUAGUUUCUGUGGCAGAAACUAAUUUAAUUUGAUGGCAGAAAUUAAACGCUGCUAUUUGAUGUGGCAAAUAAAGUGACUUGCUGCAUUUAAAGGUAAGCAGGUGAAUUUGGGGAUGACUUGUCUAAGUCAGAUGAAGAAAUUGUGGCUUGGGAGUUCCCUGGUUGCUUACUGGGUUGAGGACCUGGCAUUGUCACUCCUGUGACUCUGGUUACAACUGUGGCACUGGUUCAGUCCCUGGCCUGGAAACUUUUAUACACCAUGGGUGCAUCCAAAAAAAAAAAAAA
ensembl:lncRNA